CACCAGGCGCGAAAACUUUACAAUGUUGGCAACAGCGAUAAGGGGUCCUUGAGUGCCAGGAUACAAUCCUGGCUGUCGUGAUGCCUAAAAAGCAUUAUAUAGCAAGGGCCGGGCAAGACCGGUGCCCGCCGCCGCGGUAACACCGGCGGCUCGAAUGGUAACCGAUAUUAUUGGGUCUAAAGGGUUCGUAGCCGGCUUGGUUAGUUUCCUGGGAAAUCCGGCAGAUUAACUGUCGGGUUUUCGGGAGAUACUGCCAGGCUCGAGACCGGGAGAGGCGAGAGGUACUUCAUGGGUAGGGGUGAAAUCUUGUAAUCCUUGAAGGACCACCAGUGGCGAAGGCGUCUCACCAGAACGGAUCUGACGGCAAGGGACGAAAGCUAGGGGCACGAACCGGAUUAGAUACCCGGGUAGUCCUAGCCGUAAACGAUACUCGCUAGGUGUCGGCCACGGUGCGACCGUGGUCGGUGCCGCAGGGAAGCCGUGAAGCGAGCCACCUGGGAAGUACGGCCGCAAGGCUGAAACUUAAAGGAAUUGGCGGGGGA
rnacentral:rRNA from 1 species